GACGAACGCUGGCGGCGUGCUUAACACAUGCAAGUCGAACGGAAAGGCCCUGCUUUUGUGGGGUGCUCGAGUGGCGAAGGGGUGAGUAACACGUGAGUAACCUGCCCUUGACUUUGGGAUAACUUCAGGAAACUGGGGCUAAUUCCGGAUAGGAGUUCCUGCUGCAUGGUGGGGGUUGGAUAGUUUCGGCGGUUGGGGAUGGUCUCGCGGUUUAUGAGCUUGUUGGGGGGGUAGUGGUAUACCAAGGCUUUGACGGGUAGCCGGCCUGAGAGGGUGAGCGGCAUCAUUGGGACGGAGAUGCGGCCCAGACUCCUACGGGAGGCAGCGGUGGGGAAUAUUGCACAAUGGGCGGAAGCAUGAUGCAGCAACGCCGCGUGCGGGAUGACGGCCGUCUGGUUGUAAACCGCUUUCGCCUGUGACGAAGCGUGAGUGACGGUAAUGGGUAAAGAAGCACCGGCUAACUACGUG
rnacentral:rRNA from 1 species